rnacentral:rRNA from 1 species
GCCUAAUACAUGCAAGUCGGACGGGAUUCAGGGAGUAGCUUGCUACGAACUGAUGAGAGUGGCGCACGGGUGCGUAACGCGUGAGCAACCUACCCAUAUCAGGGGGAUAGCCUCUCGAAAGAGAGAUUAACACCGCAUAACAUUGAAGAACGGCAUCGUUUUUCAAUCAAAUAUUUAUAGGAUAUGGAUGGGCUCGCGUGACAUUAGCUAGUUGGAGAGGUAACGGCUCACCAAGGCUACKAUGUCUAGGGGCUCUGAGAGGAGAAUCCCCCACACUGGUACUGAGACACGGACCAGACUCCUACGGGAGGCAKCAGUSASGAAUAUUGGUCAAUGGAGGCAACUCUGAACCAGCCAUGCCGCGUGCAGGAUGACUGCCCUAUGGGUUGUAAACUGC